rnacentral:rRNA from 1 species
AAAUUGAAGAGUUUGAUCAUGGCUCAGAUUGAACGCUGGCGGCAGGCCUAACACAUGCAAGUCGAACGGUAACAGGAAGCAGCUUGCUGCUUUGCUGACGAGUGGCGGACGGGUGAGUAAUGUCUGGGAAACUGCCUGAUGGAGGGGGAUAACUACUGGAAACGGUGGCUAAUACCGCAUAACGUCGCAAGACCAAAGAGGGGGACCUUCGGGCCUCUUGCCAUCAGAUGUGCCCAGAUGGGAUUAGCUUGUUGGUGAGGUAACGGCUCACCAAGGCGACGAUCCCUAGCUGGUCUGAGAGGAUGACCAGCCACACUGGAACUGAGACACGGUCCAGACUCCUACGGGAGGCAGCAGUGGGGAAUAUUGCACAAUGGGCGCAAGCCUGAUGCAGCCAUGCCGCGUGUAUGAAGAAGGCCUUCGGGUUGUAAAGUACUUUCAGCGGGGAGGAAGGUGUUGUGGUUAAUAACCACAGCAAUUGACGUUACCCGCAGAAGAAGCACCGGCUAACUCCGUGCCAGCAGCCGCGGUAAUACGGAGGGUGCAAGCGUUAAUCGGAAUUACUGGGCGUAAAGCGCACGCAGGCGGUCUGUCAAGUCGGAUGUGAAAUCCCCGGGCUCAACCUGGGAACUGCAUUCGAAACUGGCAGGCUUGAGUCUUGUAGAGGGGGGUAGAAUUCCAGGUGUAGCGGUGAAAUGCGUAGAGAUCUGGAGGAAUACCGGUGGCGAAGGCGGCCCCCUGGACAAAGACUGACGCUCAGGUGCGAAAGCGUGGGGAGCAAACAGGAUUAGAUACCCUGGUAGUCCACGCCGUAAACGAUGUCUACUUGGAGGUUGUGCCCUUGAGGCGUGGCUUCCGGAGCUAACGCGUUAAGUAGACCGCCUGGGGAGUACGGCCGCAAGGUUAAAACUCAAAUGAAUUGACGGGGGCCCGCACAAGCGGUGGAGCAUGUGGUUUAAUUCGAUGCAACGCGAAGAACCUUACCUGGUCUUGACAUCCACAGAACUUUCCAGAGAUGGACUGGUGCCUUCGGGAACUGUGAGACAGGUGCUGCAUGGCUGUCGUCAGCUCGUGUUGUGAAAUGUUGGGUUAAGUCCCGCAACGAGCGCAACCCUUAUCCUUUGUUGCCAGCGGUUAGGCCGGGAACUCAAAGGAGACUGCCAGUGAUAAACUGGAGGAAGGUGGGGAUGACGUCAAGUCAUCAUGGCCCUUACGACCAGGGCUACACACGUGCUACAAUGGCGCAUACAAAGAGAAGCGACCUCGCGAGAGCAAGCGGACCUCAUAAAGUGCGUCGUAGUCCGGAUUGGAGUCUGCAACUCGACUCCAUGAAGUCGGAAUCGCUAGUAAUCGUGGAUCAGAAUGCCACGGUGAAUACGUUCCCGGGCCUUGUACACACCGCCCGUCACACCAUGGGAGUGGGUUGCAAAAGAAGUAGGUAGCUUAACCUUCGGGAGGGCGCUUACCACUUUGUGAUUCAUGACUGGGGUGAAGUCGUAACAAGGUAACCGUAGGGGAACCUGCGGUUGGAUCACCUCCUUACCU